AUUGAACGCUGGCGGCGUGCUUAACACAUGCAAGUCGAGCGGCAGCGCGGGAGCAAUCCUGGCGGCGAGCGGCGAACGGGUGAGUAAUGCUUCGGAAUCUGCCCUGUAGUGGGGAAUAACCAGUCGAAAGAUUGGCUAAUACCGCAUACGAACUACGGUUGAAAGCGGGGGAUCGCAAGACCUCGCGCUAUAGGAUGAGCCGAAGUCGGAUUAGCUAGUUGGUGAGGUAACGGCUCACCAAGGCGACGAUCCGUAGCUGGUCUGAGAGGACGACCAGCCACACUGGUACUGCGACACGGCCCAGCAUCCUACGGGAGGCAGCAGUGGGGAAUAUUGGACAAUGGGGGCAACCCUGAUCCAGCGACGCCGCGUGUGUGAAGAAGGCCUGCGGGUUGGAAAGCACUAUUAGUGGGGAGGAAAUGCUCGGCGCUAACACCGUCGGGAACUGACUUAACCCAAAGAAAAAGCACCGGCUAACUCUGUGCCAGCCGCCGCAGUAA
rnacentral:rRNA from 1 species